AUUGAACGCUGGCGGCAGGCCUAACACAUGCAAGUCGAACGGCAGCACAGAAGAGCUUGCUCUUUGGGUGGCGAGUGGCGGACGGGUGCGUAAUGUCUGGGAAACUGCCCGAUGGAGGGGGAUAACUACUGGAAACGGUAGCUAAUACCGCAUAACGUCGCAAGACCAAAGUGGGGGACCUUCGGGUCUCACACCAUCGGAUGUGCCCAGAUGGGAUUAGGUAGUAGGUGGGGUAAUGGCUGACCUAGGCGACGAGCCCUAGCUGGUCUGAGAGGAUGACCAGCCACACUGGAACUGAGACACGGUCCAGACUCCUACGGGAGGCAGCAGUGGGGAAUAUUGCACAAUGGGCGCAAGCCUGAUGCAGCCAUGCCGCGUGUAUGAAGAAGGCCUUCGGGUUGUAAAGUACUUUCAGCGGGGAGGAAGGCGGUGAGGUUAAUAACCUUGCCGAUUGACGUUACCCGCAGAAGAAGCACCGGCUAACUCCGUGCCAGCCGCCGCUGUAA
rnacentral:rRNA from 1 species